AGGGGGUUCGCUCUAUACCCUUUGUGACAUACCUACAACUGUUGCUUCGGCGGGUAGGCCGUCCCCUGAAAAGGACGCCUCCCGGCCCGGACCGGACCCCCCGUGGGGCCGGACUCGGCGCCCGCCGGAGGAUAACCAAACGCUAUUUUAACGACGUUUCUUCUGAGUGGCAUAAGCAAAAUAAUCAAAACUUUUAACAACGGAUCUCUUGGUUCUGGCAUCGAUGAAGAACGCAGCGAAAUGCGAUAAGUAAUGUGAAUUGCAGAAUUCAGUGAAUCAUCGAAUCUUUGAACGCACAUUGCGCCCGCCAGCAUUCUGGCGGGCAUGCCUGUUCGAGCGUCAUUUCAACCCUCAAGCUCUGCUUGGUGUUGGGGCUCUACGGUCGACGUAGGCCCUCAAAGGUAGUGGCGGACCCUCCCGGAGCCUCCUUUGCGUAGUAACAUUUCGUCUCGCACUGGGAUCCGGAGGGACUCUUGCCGUAAAACCCCCCAAUUUUUCAAGGUUGACCUCGGAUCAGGUAGGAAUACCCGCUGAACUUAAGCAUAUCAAAAGGCGGAGGAA
rnacentral:rRNA from 1 species